rnacentral:rRNA from 1 species
UACGUAGGGACCGAGCGUUGUCCGGAAUCAUUGGGCGUAAAGAGCGUGUAGGCGGCUCGCUAAGUCUUGCGUGAAAUCUCGGGGCUCAACCCCGAGCGGUCGUGAGUAACUGGCGGGCUAGAGUGCGGGAGAGGAGAGUGGAAUUCCUGGUGUAGCGGUGAAAUGCGCAGAUAUCAGGAAGAACACCCGUGGCGAAGGCGGCUCUCUGGAACGCAACUGACGCUGAGACGCGAAAGCGUGGGGAGCAAACAGG